rnacentral:rRNA from 1 species
UACAGAGGGUGCGAGCGUUGUUCGGAAUUAUUGGGCGUAAAGGGCUCGUAGGCGGUUUGUCGCGUCGGGAGUGAAAACACACAGCUUAACUGUGUGCUUGCUUCCGAUACGGGCAGACUAGAGGUAUGCAGGGGAGAACGGAAUUCCUGGUGUAGCGGUGAAAUGCGCAGAUAUCAGGAGGAACACCGGUGGCGAAGGCGGUUCUCUGGGCAUUACCUGACGCUGAGGAGCGAAAGUGUGGGGAGCGAACAGG